GCUUACGGCCACACCUCCCUGAGCACGCCCGAUCUCGUCUGAUCUCGGAAGCUAAGCAGGGUCGAGCCCGGUUAGUAAUAGGAUGGGAGUACCGCCUGGGAAUACCAGAUGCUGUAAGCC
ensembl:rRNA 5S_rRNA 5S ribosomal RNA